GACGAACGCUGGCGGCGUGCUUAACACAUGCAGGUCGAACGGAAAGGCCCUGCUUUUGUGGGGUGCUCGAGUGGCGAACGGGUGAGUAACACGUGAGUAACCUGCCCUUGACUUUGGGAUAACUUCAGGAAACUGGGGCUAAUACCGGAUAGGAGCUCCUGCUGCAUGGUGGGGGUUGGAAAGUUUCGGCGGUUGGGGAUGGACUCGCGGCUUAUCAGCUUGUUGGUGGGGUAGUGGCUUACCAAGGCUUUGACGGGUAGCCGGCCUGAGAGGGUGACCGGCCACAUUGGGAAUGAGAUACGGCCCAGACUCCUACGGGAGGCAGCAGUGGGGAAUAUUGCACAAUGGGCGGAAGCCUGAUGCAGCAACGCCGCGUGCGGGAUGACGGCCUUCGGGUUGUAAACCGCUUUCGCCUGUGGCGAAGCGUGAGUGACGGUAAUGGGUAAAGAAGCACCGGCUAACUACGUG
rnacentral:rRNA from 1 species